GUUGCUAAGUUCAACUCUACCCAGUCCAUUUGCACAUUUUCAAGAUCACGCUCACGUUCGGAGUUGAGUAUUUGGUGUGGAGGCGCCGGUCUCGGUUUGGGGGAGCGUGGACAAGAUGCAUUGAGGCCAGUUAGAGCUCUCUGAAACCUAGCCCUGCUGUGGAAUGGAGAUUAGGAUCUUGUUGCACUGUGUUGGCUAAUAUCAACAAACAAGUAAUCAACCACUUCACCAGUGAGGUGUCAACGGGUCAAACUCCUGGCAUUUUGGUUGCACCCGGACCAAAUGGAUCACAUCAGUUAAAGAAGGGAGCUCACCAUCCACUAUUUUUUUAAUUAUUCCGCCACAGAUGUGGG